GAACGAUCUUUUGUCUGCAGGAGAUGAGAUCCACAUCUAAUUUUAUAGAAAUCACGGUUCGAGCUGCUCUGGAAAGGUCUCAACUCAGCUGCGCUUCUUCCUUGCUCAGGCGUUUGUUGAUUUCUCUGAAUAUUGGUUGGACAUUGCCCAUGUAGCACUCACCCAAGUGUGUACUAUGCUAAUAUCUACCACGACAUGACGGGCGGGAGUCCCGGAGGAGGGUGACGGAUGGCCACGAUAGGCUCGCAGCAGGACGACGAUGCAUGAGGGCGCACGGAGCAGGGUGGCGCUCGCCUUGAGGAGCUCGUCCAUGAUCCAAUACCCAGACGAUGGAAAGGUCUAUGC